rnacentral:rRNA from 1 species
CCCUUAGAUGUUCGGGGCCGCACGCGCGCUACACUGACGAAGGCAACGAGCUUUCCUUUACCGAAAGGUACGGGUAAUCUUUUGAAACUUCGUCGUGCUGGGGAUAGAUCCUUGCAAUUUUUGAUCUUAAACGAGGAAUUCCUAGUAAGCGCAAGUCAUCAACUUGCGUUGAUUACGUCCCUGCCCUUUGUACACACCGCCCGUCGCUACUACCGAUUGAAUGGUUUAGUGAGGCCUUCGGAUCCGCGACUCGUUUUGUGGAGAAGUUGGACAAACUCAGUCAUUUAGAGGAAGUAAAAGUCGUAACA